rnacentral:rRNA from 1 species
UCUUCCACAAUGGACGAAAGUCUGAUGGAGCAAUACCGCGCGAGUGAAGAAGGUUUUCGGAUCGUAAAGCUCUGUUGUAAGGGAAGAACACGUACAGGAGUAACUGCCUGUACCUUGACGGUACCUUAUCAGAAAGCCACGGCUAACUACGUGCCAGCAGCCGCGGUAAUAAGAUGGUGGCAAGCGUUGUCCGGAAUUAUUGGGGGUAAAGCGCGCGCAGGCGGUCCUUUAAGUCUGAUGUGAAAUCCCAAGGCUCAACCUUGGACGGUCAUUGGAAACUGGAGGACUUGAGUACAGAAGAGGAAAGCGGAAUUCCACGUGUAGCGGUGAAAUGCGUAGAGAUGUGGAGGAACACCAGUGGAGAAGGCGGCUUUCUGGUCUGUAACUGACGCUGAGGCGCGAAAGCGUGGGGAGCAAAC